rnacentral:rRNA from 1 species
AGAGUUUGAUCCUGGCUCAGGAUGAACGCUGGCGGCGUGCCUAAUACAUGCAAGUCGAGCGAACGGACGAGAAGCUUGCUUCUCUGAUGUUAGCGGCGGACGGGUGAGUAACACGUGGAUAACCUACCUAUAAGACUGGGAUAACUUCGGGAAACCGGAGCUAAUACCGGAUAAUAUUUUGAACCGCAUGGUUCAAAAGUGAAAGACGGUCUUGCUGUCACUUAUAGAUGGAUCCGCGCUGCAUUAGCUAGUUGGUAAGGUAACGGCUUACCAAGGCAACGAUGCAUAGCCGACCUGAGAGGGUGAUCGGCCACACUGGAACUGAGACACGGUCCAGACUCCUACGGGAGGCAGCAGUAGGGAAUCUUCCGCAAUGGGCGAAAGCCUGACGGAGCAACGCCGCGUGAGUGAUGAAGGUCUUCGGAUCGUAAAACUCUGUUAUUAGGGAAGAACAUAUGUGUAAGUAACUGUGCACAUCUUGACGGUACCUAAUCAGAAAGCCACGGCUAACUACGUGCCAGCAGCCGCGGUAAUACGUAGGUGGCAAGCGUUAUCCGGAAUUAUUGGGCGUAAAGCGCGCGUAGGCGGUUUUUUAAGUCUGAUGUGAAAGCCCACGGCUCAACCGUGGAGGGUCAUUGGAAACUGGAAAACUUGAGUGCAGAAGAGGAAAGUGGAAUUCCAUGUGUAGCGGUGAAAUGCGCAGAGAUAUGGAGGAACACCAGUGGCGAAGGCGACUUUCUGGUCUGUAACUGACGCUGAUGUGCGAAAGCGUGGGGAUCAAACAGGAUUAGAUACCCUGGUAGUCCACGCCGUAAACGAUGAGUGCUAAGUGUUAGGGGGUUUCCGCCCCUUAGUGCUGCAGCUAACGCAUUAAGCACUCCGCCUGGGGAGUACGACCGCAAGGUUGAAACUCAAAGGAAUUGACGGGGACCCGCACAAGCGGUGGAGCAUGUGGUUUAAUUCGAAGCAACGCGAAGAACCUUACCAAAUCUUGACAUCCUUUGACAACUCUAGAGAUAGAGCCUUCCCCUUCGGGGGACAAAGUGACAGGUGGUGCAUGGUUGUCGUCAGCUCGUGUCGUGAGAUGUUGGGUUAAGUCCCGCAACGAGCGCAACCCUUAAGCUUAGUUGCCAUCAUUAAGUUGGGCACUCUAAGUUGACUGCCGGUGACAAACCGGAGGAAGGUGGGGAUGACGUCAAAUCAUCAUGCCCCUUAUGAUUUGGGCUACACACGUGCUACAAUGGACAAUACAAAGGGCAGCGAAACCGCGAGGUCAAGCAAAUCCCAUAAAGUUGUUCUCAGUUCGGAUUGUAGUCUGCAACUCGACUACAUGAAGCUGGAAUCGCUAGUAAUCGUAGAUCAGCAUGCUACGGUGAAUACGUUCCCGGGUCUUGUACACACCGCCCGUCACACCACGAGAGUUUGUAACACCCGAAGCCGGUGGAGUAACCUUUUAGGAGCUAGCCGUCGAAGGUGGGACCAAAUGAUUGGGGUGAAGUCGUAACAAGGUAGCCGUAUCGGAAGGUGCGGCUG